rnacentral:rRNA from 1 species
UACGAAGGGGGCGAGCGUUGUUCGGAAUCACUGGGCGUAAAGGGCGCGUAGGCGGCCCUCCUUGUCGCGUGUGAAAGCCCCGGGCUCAACCUGGGAACGGCGCGCGAGACGGGGGGGCUGGAGUUCGGGAGAGGAGCGUGGAAUUCCCAGUGUAGAGGUGAAAUUCGUAGAUAUCUGGAGGAAUACCGGUGGCGAAGGCGGCAUCCUGGACCGACAUUGACGCUGAACGGCGAAAGCUAGGGGAGCAAACGGG